UACGUAGGGGCCGAGCGUUGUCCGGAGUUAUUGGGCGUAAAGCGCGCGCAGGCGGCUUGGCGCGCCCGACGUGAAAGCCCCCGGCUUAACCGGGGAGGGUCGUCGGGUACGGCCAGGCUUGAGGGCGGGAGAGGGUGGUGGAAUUCCCGGUGUAGUGGUGAAAUGCGUAGAGAUCGGGAGGGACACCUGUGGCGAAGGCGGCCACCUGGGCCGACCCUGACGCUGAGGCGCGAAGGCGUGGGGAGCGAACGGG
rnacentral:rRNA from 1 species